GCUCGUCGGAAGUGGAAAACUGUUGCUCGCGAAAUGAUCUCACUCAAGGUCACUGGGAGGCGUGGAGCCGAGGUCUCACUCGAGGUCAUUCGAUCAAGUUAAAAAAGAGGUUAGGGAGGAGAUUUGAUCUGGAGGCUAGGCAUGGAGUGCAGCUGAUCUGAGGUGACCUCGCUCGCUCCCCAUUUCUCGCUCUCGCAUGCUCGCUCUCUUCCAAUCCCUCUUUCUCGGUCGAUCGCCGUCAGGGCUCGCUCGCGGUCAGUGACCGGACUUCAACUCGCGCGUUGGCAUGGCUCGCUCUCGCUCUCUGGCACCGGUCUUCAACUCUCGGUCGAAUCGCCGACCGGGCUCGCUCGACUUGCUCGCGCUGACAUGCCUUCGCUCGCGGUCAGGCAACCUUCCAUUCGAUUUGCGAUCAGACGAAUGCUUCUAUUUCGCGCGAUUCACUCGCUGAUUGCGUUAGCUCGCUCGUUCGCUGGAGGGCGAAUGAGCGAACUUCUCUUCGCUAGGGAUUUGUCUGCAAGGGGGAAAAUCGCGAGUACGACUUUAGUUGGAAAGAAAAAAAAUCGAUUUAUUAGGAAAAAAAAUGUCAACCACGUCUAAGGUCUAACCCACACUUAUUUAAGAAAAAACAUGAGUGCAAUUGACAACUACUUACAAUCUAAAUUUUGAAUUUAUAAUUUAACUUAAUUUUGGACCAAUAAUUAUUAAUUAAUAAAUCAAAUAAUUAAUACGUUAGUAAUCAAAUUAAUUAAUUAAUUUUAUUUGAUGUGGGUUUAAACUUAGUUCAAAACUCAGAAAACAUUUUGCAUAUUUCAGUGAAAUUUAAUAAUGAAAAUGAAGAACUCAAAGAACAUCAAUAAUAAUCAAGUGAUUUUAUUAAUUUCCAUAUAUUUAUUUAUUAAUUUAUAAUAGUGGUACAUGUGGCAUUAUUUAUGGAUAAUUGAGACAAUUCAAUUACAAAUGUUAAUGUAGACAUCAUACUUUACAAUAUUAUUAUUGGUGACCGGAUCAGCGUAAAUCGAUUGAGAUAGGAAAUAUCCGGUAGCACCUCUGAACACACCACUUCCUCCGUCGAAACCUCCCUUAAAGGACUAGUGAUAUUAACUCUUCCCAAAAAGCUCAAAAUACUAUCUUGAUACUCGUACAAAAACAAGUUCAUUGUUAUAUCGGAUUCUCGGGUGUAAAGAGUAUAAAUACCUUGUGUCUUGCCAAUAACAUCCCCCGUUGGAUCGGAUUCAAGAGUCACUGGUUUGUCGAAAGCAUAAUUAUUUCCAAAAUUAAAAGAAUAGGAACCAGGAGUAAAGUUGGUGGCACUGGCUACCAUGAGGGAUGAUGGAGCCGACCCAGUGAAAUUCUCGUGCCAUUAGAAAGAGAGGUGGGUUUCUGUAACUUUCUUAAUCAAUGAAGUCUCAUCAUAAGCGUAGCAAAAGGAGACGAGGGCGGUUGAAGAGAUGAAGAGGGAGAGAACCAUGAAUGUAUUGAAUCUCUGAAUCUCACCAUUGUAUCAAUAUGUGGUUAGUUGAUUCUAAUAAUUGAAGCAUUGGUUCCAUUUAUAGAUCUAUAAAUUAUGCG
rnacentral:lncRNA from 1 species